GAAGGUCACGGCGAGACGAGCCGUUUAUCAUUACGAUAGGUGUCAAGUGGAAGUGCAGUGAUGUAUGCAGCUGAGGCAUCCUAACAGACCGGUAGACUUGAACCUUGUUCCUACAUGACCCGAUCAAUUCGAUCAGGCACUCGCCAUCUAUUUUCAUUGUUCAACUCUUUGACAACACGAAAAACCAUUGUUCAACUCUUUGACAACAUGAAAAAACCAAAGGCCUCUGCCCUGCCCUCCCUCUCUAUCUAUCCAAGGGAUGGAAGGGCAGGGCAG
rnacentral:rRNA from 1 species